rnacentral:rRNA from 1 species
AGAGAGAGUUUGAUCAUGGCUUCAGAUGAACGCUGGCGGCAGGCUUAACACUUGCAAAGUCGAGCGGAGGGAGGGGAGCUUGCACCUUAGCUGAGCGGCGGACGGGUGAGUAAUGCUUGGGACUCUUCCUGGUAGUGGGGGACAAACAUUCUGAAAGGGAUGCUAAUUCCUCAUACGUCCUAAAGGGGACAGCAAGGGAUCUUGUGACCCUGCGCUCAUCGAUGAGCCUAAGUUGGAUUAGCUAGUUGGUGGGGUAAAGUCCUACCAAGGAGACGAUUCGUAACGGGUUUGAGAGGGUGAUUCGCCACACUGGGAAUGAGACACGGCCCAGACUCCUUCGGGAGGCAGCAGUGGGGAAUUUUGGACAAUGGGGGGAACCCUGAUCCAGCCCUCCCGGGUGGAUGAAGAAGGCUUUUCGGUUGUAAAGCACGUUUAACUUGGAAGAGGGGGCAUAGUAUUAUACCCUAGAUGCUUGGACGUUACUCGCAGAAUAAGCACCGGCUAACUUUGUGCCAGCAGCCGCGGUAAUACAGAGGGUGCGAGCGUUUAUUGGAAUUACUGGGGGUAAAGCGCGGGUAGGUGGCUUAUUAAGUUAAAUGGGAAAUCCCCGGGCUUAACUUGGGAAUUGCCUUCAAAACUGGUUAGUUAGAGUAUGGCAGAGGGUGGUGGAAUUUCAGGUGUAGCGGUGAAAUGUGUAGAGAUUUGGAGGAACACCGAUGGGGAAGGCAGCCAUCUGGCCUAAUACUGACAUUGAGGUGGGAAAGCAUGGGGAGCAAACAGGAUUAGAUACCCUGGUAGUCCCCCCGGCGUAGACGAUGUCUACUAGCCGUUGGGGUCUUUGCAGGUUUUAGUGGCGCAGCUAACGCGUUAAGUACAGUCCGCCUGGGGAGUACGGCCGUCAAGAUUAAAACUCAAAUGAAUUGACGGGGGCCCGCACAAGCGGUGGAGCAUGUGGUUUAAUUCGAAGCAACGCGAAAAACCUUACCUGGCCUUGACAUACAGAGAACUUUCCAAAAAUGGAUUGUUGCCUUCGGGAACUCUGAUACAGGUGCUGCAUGGCUGUCGUCAGCUCGUGUCGUGAGAUGUUGGGUUAAGUCCCGCAACGAGCGCAACCCUUUUCCUUACUUGCCACCAUUUUUUGGGGGAACUUUAAGGAAACUGGCCGGGAAAAACUGGGAGAAGGGGGGGGAAAACUCAAGUCCUCGGGGCCCUUACGGGCGGGGCUACACACGUGCUACAAUGGUCGGUACAAAGGGUUGCUACACACCGAUGUGAUGCUUAUCUCCAAAACCCCAUCUCAAUCCGGAUUGGAGUCUGCCACUCGACUCCCUGAAAUCGGAAUCCCUAGUAAUCCCGGAUCAGAAUGCCGCGGUGAAUACCUUCCCGGGCCUUGUACACACCGCUCGUCACACCAUGGGAGUUUGUUGCACCAAAAGUACGUAGUCUAACCUUAUGGAGGACGCUUACCACGGUGUGGCCUAUGACUGAGGUGAAGUCCUAACAAAGGUAACCCA